rnacentral:rRNA from 1 species
AGCGAACGCUGGCGGCAGGCCUAACACAUGCAAGUCGAACGAACCUUUCGGGGUUAGUGGCGGACGGGUGCGUAACACGUGGGAACGUGCCUUUAGGUUCGGAAUAACUCAGGGAAACUUGUGCUAAUACCGAAUGUGCCCUUCGGGGGAAAGAUUUAUCGCCUUUAGAGCGGCCCGCGUCUGAUUAGCUAGUUGGUUGGGGUAAUGGCUCACCAAGGCGACGAUCAGUAGCUGGUCUGAGAGGAUGAUCAGCCACAUUGGGACUGAGACACGGCCCAAACUCCUACGGGAGGCAGCAGUGGGGAAUCUUGCGCAAUGGGCGAAAGCCUGACGCAGCCAUGCCGCGUGAAUGAUGAAGGUCUUAGGAUUGUAAAAUUCUUUCACCGGGGACGAUAAUGACGGUACCCGGAGAAGAAGCCCCGGCUAACUUCGUG